CCUACGGGGGGCAGCAGUGAGGAAUAUUGGUCAAUGGCCGGAAGGCUGAACCAGCCAAGCCGCGUGAAGGACGAAGGUGCCAAGCAUUGUAAACUUCUUUUGUCAAGGGACAAAAUCAGGCUCGAGAGCCUGACCGAGGGUACUUGAAGAAAAAGCAUCGGCUAACUCCGUGCCAGCAGCCGCGGUAAUACGGAGGAUGCGAGCGUUAUCCGGAUUUAUUGGGUUUAAAGGGUGCGUAGGCGGACUGUUAAGUCAGCGGUAAAAGCCCGGGGCUCAACCCCGGCGAGCCGUUGAAACUGGCUGUC
rnacentral:rRNA from 1 species